rnacentral:misc_RNA from 1 species
UGGGGCGUGUGAGUGGUGUUUGGUUGUGUGUGACGGCAGGCUCCGUGCUACGCGCAUCGAACUGUCGAGCCGCACUCCUCUUCAAUAUCAUCCCCUUGUGGCCGGUGUCCACAAGGGGUGAUUCAGGGAUCCUGUGUUGCGUACCCAAAUCGAUGGAAUUUUGGAUGUGUUAUCGUCCAUUGUCCGUCGUGUGGCCUUGCGGCUGCCCGAUGGACCUUAGUCGUGCCCGGUGUCCCGAUUGUGUCGGUCAAGAUGAUUCGAUCAUGUCGGUGCAUCGGUGCUCGAUCGUGCUUUCGGAUGCGGAAAAUCUCGUGAGCGUAGGGGCACGUCCCCGAUCGCUCGACUCGUUUGCAUUUUGUCCCUUGACACGAUCGAUGCUCUUGCCCUGUCACGGCCUCUCGCUCGCCUACCCAGGUUGUGCGAUGCUGGCCGCGCAGGGCGGACGUCGUCGAGGAAUGCUACCUGGUUGAUCCUGCCAGUAGUCAUAUGCUUGUCUCAAAGAUUAAGCCAUGCAUGUAA